CCAUUGAAAAUGGGCAUCGCUACUUGGUAACCACCAAUGUGAUCGGGAUUUGUGGAACGACUCAUUUCGGCGGAACCGGCAGGAACCUCAGCUGUGCUACCAGAGGGAUGACUGAAACAAAAUCAGAGUUGCAUCAAGUGUCAGUUUCCUGAGUAAACCCCAGCUGACCAAGAACAGAAUACACUCGUGGAAAAUAAUUGGCACGUGGAUACGUUUGACGGCUUUGGUUUGGAGGAAGAUCUCCGUGGCCAACUGCUCGUCCACCGAGGAGAUACCCAUCGGACAACUCGGUCCUGCCCACCACUCAUGAUGACAAUUCCUCCCCUCAAAACUCGAGGAAGCCUCUAACACAAACGAUUGGCCAUCGAUAUUGGCAAAAUGCCCAAGUGGAAAGGAUAACCCGUGUAUUGUACUUUGGAAUUCGUUAGAGGUAACGCAGACUGAGCCAAGAGACCAGUAACGAGACCACGGCAGGCUUGGUCAUGGUCGAUCCAUGGGUUAUCGGCCACGAAAUCUUCACUGUUCACCAAUCACGAUCGCUAUGGACGGCCAAGUUCCAUUUGAAACGACAUGGAUCACUCCCGGGACACAUGGGAUUUUGGGAUCAAUGCCAACAUCGCUCUCCAACCCACACACAAUGACAGGAUUCCGACGAGAUAGAGACUGCUCAAGAAAUCAAAACUGCCUUCAGCCGGAUCACUAAUCUAUGCACGUUUUUUUCUGUCACCAUGAUUUAGAGUCAUAACAUUUGGA